AUUGAACGCUGGCGGCAGGCCUAACACAUGCAAGUCGAGCGAGCGGCGGACGGGUGAGUAAUGUAUGGGGACUGCCCGAUAGAGGGGGGUAACUAAUGGAAACGGUGGCUAAUACAGCAUACUGUCGGAUAACCCAUAUGGGAUUAGCUAGUAGGUAAGGUAAUGGCGUACCUAGGCGACGAUCCCUAGCUGGUCUGAGAGGAUGAUAAGCCACACCGGGACUGAGACACGGCCCAGACUCCGACGGAGGCAGCAGUGGGGAAUAUGGCACAAGGGGCGCAAGCCGGAUGCAGCCAUGCCGCGUGUAUGAAGAAGGCCCUAGGGUUGUAAAGUACUUUCAGUCGGGAGGCGUUACCGACAGAAGAAGCACCGGCUAACUCCGUGCCAGCAGCCGCGGUAAUUC
rnacentral:rRNA from 1 species